GAUGAACGCUGGCGGCGUGCCUAAUACAUGCAAGUCGAGCGAACAGACGAUGAUCUUGCUCCUCUGACGUUUGCGGCGGACGGGUGAGUAACACGUGGAUAACCUCCCUAUAUUACUGGGAUAACUUCGGGAAACCGGAUCUAAUACCGGAUAAUAUAUUGAACCGCAUGGUUCCAUAGUUAAAGACGUUUUUUCUGUCACUUAUAGAUGGAUCCGCGCCGCAUUAGCUAGUUGGUAAGGUAACGGCUUACCAAGGCAACGAUGCGUAGCCGACCUGAGCGGGUGAACGGACACACUGGAAAGGAGACACGGACCAGAGUACUACGGGAGGCAGCAGUAGGGAAUAUUCCGAAAUGGGCGAAAGCAUGACGGAGCAACGCCGCGGGAGUGAUGAAGGUCUUCGGAUCGUAAAACUAUGUUAUUAGGGAAGAACAAAUGUGUAAGUAACUAUGCACGUCUUGACGGUAACUAAUAAGAAAGCCACGGCUAACUACGUG
rnacentral:rRNA from 1 species